rnacentral:rRNA from 1 species
UACGUAGGGCGCAAGCGUUGUCCGGAAUUAUUGGGCGUAAAGAGCGUGUAGGCGGUCCGGUAAGUCAGCUGUGAAAGUCAAGGGCUCAACCCUUGAAUGCCGGUUGAUACUGUCGGGCUAGAGUCCGGAAGAGGCGAGUGGAAUUCCUGGUGUAGCGGUGAAAUGCGCAGAUAUCAGGAGGAACACCAAUUGCGAAGGCAGCUCGCUGGGACGUUACUGACGCUGAGACGCGAAAGCUAGGGGAGCAAACGGG